rnacentral:rRNA from 1 species
UAGCGUAUAUUAAAGUUGUUGCAGUUAAGAAGCUCGUAGUUGGAUUUCUGGCAGGAGCGACCGGUCCGCCGCAAGGUGUGCACUAGGUUGUCUCCAGUCAUCUUUGUGGGAACUGCUCUGACAUUAGGUUGUCGGGGUUAGGGAACACAUCGUUUAUUGUGAAAAAAUUAGAGUGUUUAAAGCAGGCUUAUGCCGUUGAAUACAUUAGCAUGGAAUAAUAAGAUAGGACUUUGGUGGUCUAUUUUGUUGGUUUGCACACCAAGGUAAUGAUUAAUAGGGAUAGUUGGGGGUAUUCGUAUUUAAUUGUCAGAGGUGAAAUUCUUGGAUUUAUGAAAGACGAACUACUGCGAAAGCAUUUACCAAAGAUGUUUUCAUUAAUCAAGAACGAAAGUUAGGGGAUCGAAGAUGAUUAGAUACCAUCGUAGUCUUAACCAUAAACUAUGCCGACUAGGGAUUGGUGGUCGUUCUUUAUGACUCCAUCAGCACCUUAUGAGAAAUCAAAGUCUUUGGGUUCCGGGGGGAGUAUGGUCGCAAGGCUGAAACUUAAAGGAAUUGACGGAAGGGCACCACCAGGAGUGGAGCCUGCGGCUUAAUUUGACUCAACACGGGGAAACUCACCAGGUCCAGACAUAAUAAGGAUUGACAGAUUGAUAGCUCUUUCUUGAUUUUAUGGGUGGUGGUGCAUGGCCGUCCUUAGUUCGUGGAGUGAUUUGUCUGCUUAAUUGCGUUAACGAACGAGACCUUAACCUGCUAAAUAGGAGCGCCUAUCUCCGGAUAAGCGCCUUUCUUCUUAGAGGGACUUUAUGCGUUUCAGCAUGAGGAAGUUUGAGGCUAAAGCAGGUCUGUGAUGCCCUUAGAUGUUCUGGGCUGCACGCGCGCUACACUGAUGCGUUCAACGAGUGUACAACCUUGCCCGAUAGGGUUGGGUAAUCUUCUGAACACGCAUCGUGAUGGGGAUAGAUUAUUGCAAUUAUUAAUCUUCAACGAGGAAUUCCUAGUAAUGAUGGUUCAUCAGACCAUCGUGAUUACGUCCCUGCCCUUUGUACACACCGCCCGUCGCUCCUACCGAUUGAGCAAUCCGGUGAAUAUUUCGGACCGAGACCUGUCGGGGCAACUCGUUCAGGAUUUGGAAAGUCAAGUUAACCUUAUUGCUUAGAGGAAGGAGAAGUCGUAACAAGGUUUCC